UGGGCAUAAUGAUGAUGAAAUUAUUGUCAUCUGAAGUUUUAGUGAUUAAAACAAUAACCUCCUACUCAUUCUGA